CUCAACGGUCGUCUACUUUCACAAAGUGCGUGUUGCGCUCUGGUUGCGCUUCUAUACAUGACAUUCCCCGUGACCGAUGACGUCCGAGCUUCUUACGUCACGAAAUUUUGGCACCAAAUGAUGCUGCAAUAUGAAGGGGGCGUGGCGUGAGCGACGGCGCGACUGGAGCACCUUGAUGUCACCAUUGGAUCUAGGCUGAAUUCAGCGGACAAAACAUAGCAAAACACAUAUUUUUAAACGAAACAGUGGUGCCUUGAACACACAGUUGUGUAUACCGGCAGGCUGAUUUUUACUGCAUUUUUAACCACAGCUGUGUUUACAAGUGUGUUGCAGCUGAUUGGGUAACACCUCUGACACGCCCACCAAAGGAGGAAGCCCAUUGCCCAAGUUGCACAAUGUUGAUUGAAAAACUGUUAAUUAAUAACAAAUUUACAAAGUUCGACAGAACCCAGCUUUCUUUGCAGCGCUGUGAAAGUGUUUUUUUCUGUUCUGUGACUUUAUUUUAUAACCGUACCCUGGGAUGACCGGAGGCAGUAUGUGGAGUCAGUUUGCUGCGUUCCUUUUAUGCUAACGUUAGCAACCGUUAGCUAACGUAAGCUAACGUAAGGUAUCACCAGUGGCUGAAACCUUUUCAGACGGUCAUCAACACUUGUCUGCUGAGUUUCCUCGAGCUUCAAAGACAUUUCUGACUGUAGAGAGUGCUGCUGAAGGAAUUUUAUCAUGCCCAUAAUCACCUGACUUGCGAAAGCAGUUCUGAUAUUGGAUCAAACAGAGUAUUGAGGGGCACUACAGCUGUUUGAGUGGUCCGUGUCCAUUUCUCAGGUGUUUGCUGAGUUCAUCGCUUUACAAAUGUUGAACCUAUGCAACCAAUUCUACUGCAAGCUUGAGAGAUACACACCAUAACUGACUGCCCUGUACAGGCAGAAGGCCAAGAGAGCAGAGGCCCUGCAGAGAUCCUCAGAAUUUAUGACCUUCAGGAACAACACAGGGUACACAUGAAAUGCCAUUCGACCCUCCGUGGCCUCCCAGUGAACCUGCUAGCAGAUGACUGACUUCUUCAAAACCUGCACUAGGCCGAUCAACACCGGCGCAGCGAGCCCCAUGUCGGCACAAUCAUCCUGAAAAAAGGCAGAGUGACAGCGGCCAUAGACAGACCGGGAGAACAGUCAGAGCUGGAAACUCAGGGUCGCGGGGGGCUGGAGCCAAUCCCAGCUGACAUUGGGCGAAAGGCGGGGUACACCCUGG